ACGCCUGGCUGACCCUGCCUGAUUGGUUUUUCAGAGAGAUCAGAGGAAAACUCCCAUUCUCUAUUUAAUUCUGCCUCCAGGAAGUGCCUUUACCUGCCUGCUUUCAGUUUUACAGGAUUCCUUUAUCAGCAACCAGUGAGUGGAAUGCAACAUACAGCUGAAUGUUAAAGAGACACGAGGCCUCUCUGCAAAACCAACUCCAGAAAAGGAGUGAGCCUGGAGUCUAGGCUGUGGGCCGCAUUUGAAACCAGGAAAGGCAACAACUCACACAACACUUCAGCAAAACCUCUUGUACAAAAUUCCUCUUCAGCAUCUGUCUGAUGUUUCUACUCUGUGAGCUGCUACAGUGUUAGCUCAGUUGUCUUCCAGCCUUCAUCUACAAACUUGUGGGACCUAGAUGGCAAAGGAAAAUGAAAACCAGAAAUUGAGCCUUUCAUCUCUAAGUCACAGGUUCAAAUGUGGCCUAGGCUGGCCAUAGUCCUACUCAGUGACCCAUGUGAACAAGUGAUGGUGUGUAGUCCCAUUCUUAGUGGCUGGGCCUUACAGAGAUUACAACUUGUGAUGAUAGUUUUGUGAGAUCCCUCAUUUGGUAACCUCUUUGAUGGUCUCAGGUGAGACAUGGAAAAUUGAAAUCAUUUGAAGAUGUUAAUUCCAUAACAGGAUUGAAGCUCAUUAGUGGGGAAUUGUUGGAGAAAGCUCUUUCUUUCCCUGGAUAAAUGGAGGACAUCAGCCUCUAGGGUUGUGAAUCUGACACCAGAUUCGCCAGAAACAAAUUUGCUUUGCUUCUUUGUAAAUUAGACUUAACGUCAG